GCAGAUGUAAUUCAUCGGUAGAAUAUCGGCUUCCCAAGCCGAAUAGACGGGUUCGACUCCCGCCAUCUGCU
rnacentral:tRNA from 1 species